rnacentral:misc_RNA from 1 species
ACAAACUUGGUCAUUUAGAGGAAGUAAAAGUCGUAACAAGGUCUCCGUUGGUGAACCAGCGGAGGGAUCAUUAAAGAGAGUGAGAACUCCCUAAAACCCACUGUUAACAUACCUGUUCGUUGCUUCGGCAGGCAGCCCCAGGGCGGGGCCGUAGCCUGUGAAAAGGCGUCUGCCGAAGGUAUAUUUAACUCUGUUGCAAACCUGUCAUCUGAGUAUUAUCAUUAAUAAGUAAAAACUUUCAACAACGGAUCUCUUGGCUCUCGCAUCGAUGAAGAACGCAGC